rnacentral:rRNA from 2 species
AAUGUUGGGUUAAGUCCCGCAACGAGCGCAACCCUUAUCCUUUGUUGCCAGCGGUUCGGCCGGGAACUCAAAGGAGACUGCCAGUGAUAAACUGGAGGAAGGUGGGGAUGACGUCAAGUCAUCAUGGCCCUUACGAGUAGGGCUACACACGUGCUACAAUGGCGCAUACAAAGAGAAGCGACCUCGCGAGAGCAAGCGGACCUCAUAAAGUGCGUCGUAGUCCGGAUUGGAGUCUGCAACUCGACUCCAUGAAGUCGGAAUCGCUAGUAAUCGUAGAUCAGAAUGCUACGGUGAAUACGUUCCCGGGCCUUGUACACACCGCCCGUCACACCAUGGGAGUGGGUUGCAAAAGAAGUAGGUAGCUUAACCUUCGGGAGGGCGCUUACCACUUUGUGAUUCAUGACUGGGGUGAAGUCGUAACAAGGUAACCGUAGGGGAACCUGCGGUUGGAUCACCUCCUUACCUUAAAGAA